rnacentral:lncRNA from 1 species
GUCAAAUGAAGGGAUGCCAUCUAAAUGAUAAAAGAGGAUCUAGAUUCUGUAGAAAGAAUAGAUCAGCAACUGCUUUGCAGAGUUCAGUUCACUAAAGAACAUAAACUGUGGAUCAAAAUCUCUCUGAACUUUUCUAAUUCCCUGGGAACCCUCUCAAAGGUCAAGAACAGACAAAACGGAGUAUGGGCCACAACUGGUUUUGUUUCAAGAAUAAGGAGAGAGAAAGGUGAGCCAAGAAUGGAUACUAUUUUUUUUUUUUUAAGAAAAGAAAGUAAAAGAAUAUUUUCCAUCACUGGAAGCUCUUAGCUCUUUUUAUACUACUG